AUGAACUCGGUGGCGGCGAGCGCGACGAGGCCGAGCAUGGCGAAGCGGCCGUUCCAGAGCUCGGCGUCCGCGCUCCAGAAGCCACUGGACUUGCUCUCCACGCUCUGGCCCUGCAGCAGCGGCACCAACGAUGCCACGGAAAACACCCCCGCGAUGCGCUCCGGUGCCGGGCCGCUGAAGGCGAGCGCGUCCCAGACCGAGGGGUUCGCCUUCUUGGUCAUGGGCUUGGGUGCCGCCGGGAUCGGGGUCGGGGCCGCGCUCGUGCUCGGGGAGGAGGAGGAGGUCGAUGCGCUCGUUGUCUCCUUGGUUGACUCCAUGCCAGGCUGCACAUACACAAGCAAUCUCACGUUAAGGUCGAGUCCCGAACUAGCCAGCAUGCGAAACAGUCAGUGCGUGACGUGA
rnacentral:rRNA from 1 species